rnacentral:lncRNA from 1 species
GUUGAAGCUGUUAAGGAUACUGCAGGACUAUCUACUAAUCAUGAACACAAUGUAUCAGAUUAAUACCUAGAUACUUAGCUUAGUUGUUAAGUUUUGGUUUGUUAGAGUUUGUUGUAUUAGAAUGCUUAGACAGCAUUACUGAGUAUUUAUGUAUAACAUACAACUUGUACUGAGUGUGAAAUUAAUGAGAUUCAUUCUUCAACAACCUCAGUCUCUCUCUAGAUUCUCUCUCUGCCUAAACUCUCUCUAGAAUUUUGUUUUCUUCACAGAUCCUUGAUUUCUAACAUGGUAUCAUUCGCCGCUGUCUAACGACUUCGAUCUUUUCCUUCUGUUUGUGUGCAUUUUCUUACUUCCCAAACAGAUCUUUCUCUCUUUCUUUUUCUGCGAAUUGUUUGCUGCUUUCAUGGCGACUACCUCUGAUUCUCCUUCUUCUGGUCCUACAUCUCAUGGCGAGGUGUCUAAUCUGCUUCAUCCUUCGAUUGGAUCGAUUACGGUUCAGAAUGUUGCUGGCAUGAUUCCGAUUAAACUCAAUCGUCAGAAUUAUAUUACCUGGCGUAGCUUGUUUCUUCCUGUUCUGAAACGAUUCAAGCUUCUAGGUCUCGUUAAUGGCGAUGAUCUAUGUCCACCGGAAUUUGUUCGUGAUUCUUCUGGAUCUCAGAUUCUCAAUCCUGCUCAUGAACUUUGGUGUGAACGUGAUCAGAUUCUGACGAUUUGGAUCAACUCUACCCUUGCUGAGGAUCUUCUUCCGUUGACGAUUGGGAUGGCGGAUUCGCGAUCUCUUUGGCAGUCUCUUGAGCGUUGUUUUGCUGGUGCUUCACGCACUCAUGUGCAUAGUCUUCGCUCCAAGAUCCAGACUAUUCAGAAAGGUGACUCUUCGCUGAUCGACUACUUCAACUCCAUCAAAGAAAUCUCCGAUAAACUGACUGCUGCUGGUGAGCCGAUCUCUGAGAAGGAUCUUGUAGCCUAUAUUCUUUCUGGCUUGCCUGAUGAGUAUGAAUCAUUUGUUGAUUCCAUUGAGACGCGAUCUGAAGAUGUGACUAUUGAUGAACUUCACGGACUUCUUCUCAGUAAAGAAAUCUCGCUCCAGAAGCGUAAGACUCGAUCAUCUUCUUCCUCCUCAUCACCUUUUCAUGCUUAUACAGCACAACAACAUUCAUCUGGCUCCAAUUCUUUUCGAGGCAAUUCUAGAGGAAAGUUUCAGAAUCAGAAUCGUUCUAAUCAGCCUCGUCACAUUGGUCCUAAUCGUAAUUUUGGUCCUAAUCGCAAUUUUGGUGGUGUUCUUGGUCCUGCUCCGAAUCCGAAUCGACCUUCAUCCUCUGGUUUUAUUCCUAAUCACUAUCAAGCGAGUUCCUCAUCCUUUUCCUCUGGCCGAUCUCUUCCUUGUCAGUUGUGUAAUCAGUAUGGUCAUGGUGCUCUUUCUUGUGGCCGUCUUUCUCAAUUUGCUUCUCAGCAAUCUCCAGGUUUCCCUAAUCCUCCUGUCGGUAUGUCUGCCAUGACCGGUUCCCCUUCUCCACGCUACUGGCUUACUGAUAGUGGUGCUUCCCAUCAUGUGACUCCUGACCCUGCUUCUCUCAACUCCGCCAUUCCAUACACUGGCAUUGACUAACUGUUUGUUGGUGAUGGUAAAGGUCUCUGCAUUUCUCACACUAGAUCUGCUCUUAUUCGAACUGCUAAUGAUGUGUUUAAACUACAUGAUGUUCUUUUAGUUCCUCAAGCAUCUCAUAACUUGCUCUCCGUAUAUCGAUUUGUUCAUGAUAAUUGGUGUUCUCUGACAUUUGAUCCAUUUAGAUUCUAUGUCAAGGACCUACGCACUGGGAGGACGCUUUUCCAGGGCCUCAGUGAAUGAGGUCUUUAUCCUUUCUAUUGGAAUGCAUCUAAUGGCAUAUCUGGGAUCGCUGUUUCUCCUCAUGCUCUUAUGAUUGCUCAAGCUGAUAUCAAUAUCUGGCACAGAAGGCUUGGACAUCCUUCUAGUGUUGUUUUAAAUAAGAUUGUUAAUACAAGUCACCUGCAUGUUGCUGGUUCAGUACAUAAACAGUCUUUUUGUUCUGAUUGUCAAUUAGCUUCUAGGCUUCCAUUUUCUGUUGUACCUUGUACAUCCACUAGGCCAUUUCAUAUCAUUCAUGCUGAUGUAUGGGGUCCUUCUCCCACUCCUUCAUGUACUGGCUAUAAAUACUAUCUUGUUUUGGUUGAUGAUUUCACCAAAUAUAGUUGGUUCUAUCCUUUGCACUUCAAGUCUGAUGUUUGUUCUGUCCUUAAAACUUUUGUUUUGAAAGUUCAGAAUUGGUUUGACAGUACGAUCCAGUGCUUGUGUUCUGAUUCCGGGGGUGAGUUUCUCAAUUCUGUUUUACAAGGAUUUCUUAAUACUCGGUAUUAUCCACCAGUUGAGUUGUCCUCACACUCCCCAGCAGAAUGGUUGUGCCGAAAGGAAACACAGGCAUAUUGUUGAGAUGGGUCGGACUUUGUUAUCUCACAGUGGUUUGCCAUCCAGGUUUUGGGUAGAAGCUUUUCAAACUGUUGUGUAUCUCAUCAAUCGUCUACCUUCUCAGUCUUCAUCAUGUCCCUGGGAGUUAUUGUUCAAGGCUGCACCUAAGUAUCACACCUUGAAGACCUUUGGUUGUGCUUGUUACCCUUGGUUGCAACCUUAUAGUUCUCACAAACUGGACACAAAGAGCAAGCUCUGUGUAUUUUGGGCUACAGUUUGAAUCAUAGUGGUUACCGAUGCCUCGAUCCAGUUACCAACAAGUUAUACAUUUCCCGACAUGUUGUCUUUGAUGAAAAUUCCUUCCCUUUUAAGCACCUCCAUGCUUCUCCUACUACUUCUUCUUUAUCCUCUAUUCCACAAUCCGCUCCUUCUUUUUUCUUUACUAUACCAGUUCCUCCUUCCACACAUUUACCCGUUCCUACUUCUUCUUCUCCAGCACCUACAGAACCUGUAUCCCUUGCUCAAUCUCCAGACUCUUCCUCCAUUGCUCUUUCUCCAGAAUCUGCAUCCAUUGCUCAACCUCCUGCACCUUCUAUUCCAGUUAAUACUCAUACCAUGGUUACAAGGGCUAAGGCCGGCAUCCACAAGCCUAAAGUGUUCACUGCAACUAAACAUCCUCUUCCUCCCACAGUUGAUUCCCUUACUGUUAUUCCUCCUACUCCAACCACCUACCUACAAGCUUCUAAGAAUGCAAACUGGUUGGCAGCAAUGCAGGCUGAGUAUCAAGCUCUCCAAUCCACUGGUACUUGGGUUCUAGUUCCUCCUGAUCCUCAAUAUAAUUUGGUAGGCUGCAAAUGGGUGUUCAAACUCAAACAUAAAGAUGAUGGUUCGAUAGAGCGCUACAAAGCUCGGCUUGUGGCCAAGGGAUUUCAUCAACAAGAAGGCCUUGAUUUCUCUGAGACUUUUAGUCCUAUAGCUAAACCUACUACAAUUCGUCUUCUCCUCUCUAUUGCAAUUACCUAUGAUUGGUUUAUUCACGAGUUGGAUGUGAGUAAUGCCUUCCUUCAUGGUUCCCUCAAAGAGGCUGUGUACAUGGUGCAACCACCUGGUUUUGUUGAUCCAGCCAAUCCGCAUCACGUUUGUAAACUGCAAAGAUCACUCUAUGGUCUCAAACAGGCACCCCGAGCCUGGUAUGAAGCAUUCUAUGGUGCUAUUCUCUCAUUGGGAUUUAUUUCUUCCUCAUCUGAUACUAGUCUUUUUAUCAAGAAAGACUCUACUGUUACCUUUAUACUGGUUUAUGUGGAUGAUAUUAUCAUCACUGGGAGUUCGCCUACUAUCUGCCACUCCAUCAUUUCGAAGUUGCAAUCUUUGUUUCCUGUCAAAGAUUUGGGAGAUAUUCAUUAUUUCCUUGGCAUUGAGGUUCACCGAUCCUCUACUGGUCUUUUUCUUCAUCAAUCCAAAUAUGCUUUGGACUUGCUUAAGAAGACCGAUAUGCUUGGUGUCAAACCUUGUUCUACUCCAGUGAGUUCCGACAAGUUGGAUCAUUCUGGCACCAUUCUUUCUGAUCCUGCUUUUUAUCGAUCAACUGUUGGUGUUCUUCAGUACUUGACAUGGACUCGCCCUGAUUUGGCUUUUGCAGUGAAUCAAGUGUGCCAACACAUGCAUGCUCCUCGUACCAUUCAUCUCUAGGCUGUCAAGCGGAUCUUACGCUAUCUCAAGGGUACUGUUGACUUCGGUUUAUGGUUUAAACCUGGCACUCAGUUUCUCACAGCUUGGUCUGAUGCUGAUUGGGCAGGUUGUCCAGUUGACCGCCGCUCUACUAGUGGCUAUUGUGUUUUCUUGGGUCCAAAUCUGAUCUCUUGGAAUGCCAAGAAGCAAACCACUGUGGCACGUUCGUCUAUUGAAGCAGAAUAUCGAUCUUUAGCCCAUACUGCUGCUGAGAUCACUUGGGUGUGUAAAAUUUUGCAGGACUUCUCUUUUCCUCUUCUUCGCCCUCCUGUGAUUUUUUGUGAUAAUCAAAGUGCUAUUGCAUUAGCUAAGAACCCUAUUUUUCAUGCUCGAACAAAGCAUGUCGAGAUUGAUUACCAUUACAUCCGCGAAAAAGUUCUUCAAGGGCAUAUCAGCAUUCAUCAUGUUCCUACUCUCCUUCAGAUUGCUAAUAUUUUUACUAAGUCCUUAUCUGCAUCUCGUUUUGCUACUCUCAGUCACAAGCUUUCAAUUUGUUCUCCUCCCUUCAGCUUGAGGGGGUGUGUUAAGGAUACUGUAGGACUAUCUACUAAUCAUGAACACAAUGUAUCAGAUUAAUACCUAGAUACUUAGCUUAGUUGUUAAGUUUUGGUUUGUUAGAGUUUGUUGUAUUAGAAUGCUUAGUCAGCAUUACUGAGUAUUUAUGUAUAACAUACAACUUGUACUGAGUGUGAAAUUAAUGAGAUUCAUUCUUCAACAACCUCAGUCUCUCUCUAGAUUCUCUCUCUACCUAAACUCUCUCUAGAAUUUUGUUUUCUUCACAGAUCCUUGAUUUCUAACA